AGCGAACGCUGGCGGCAGGCUUAACACAUGCAAGUCGAACGGGCUUCUUCGGAAGUCAGUGGCAGACGGGUGAGUAACACGUGGGAACGUGCCCUUCGGUUCGGAAUAACUCAGGGAAACUUGAGCUAAUACCGGAUACGCCCUUUUGGGGAAAGGUUUACUGCCGAAGGAUCGGCCCGCGUCUGAUUAGCUUGUUGGUGGGGUAACGGCCUACCAAGGCGACGAUCAGUAGCUGGUCUGAGAGGAUGAUCAGACACACUGGGACUGAGACACGGCCCAGACUCCUACGGGAGGCAGCAGUGGGGAAUAUUGGACAAUGGGCGCAAGCCUGAUCCAGCCAUGCCGCGUGAGUGAUGAAGGCCUUAGGGUUGUAAAGCUCUUUUGUCCGGGACGAUAAUGACGGUACCGGAAGAAUAAGCCCCGGCUAACUUCGUG
rnacentral:rRNA from 1 species